rnacentral:rRNA from 1 species
AACGAACGCUGGCGGCAUGCCUAACACAUGCAAGUCGAACGAGACCUUCGGGUUUAGUGGCGCACGGGUCCGUUACCCGUUGGAACCUGCCCUUAGGUUCGGAAUAACUCCCCGCAUUGGGUGCUAAUACCGGAUCUUGUCCUCCUUCCAACGUUUUUUCGCGUUUGGAUGGGCCCGCCUUCGAUGAGUUUGUUGUUAUGGUAAAAGCCUACGAAAGCUACGAUACAUAGCUGGUCUGUGAGGAUAAUCAGCCACACUGGGACUGAGACACGGCCCAGACUCCUAAGGAAAGGGGAAAUGGGGAAUAUUGGAAAAAGGGGGAGAGGCAGAGCAAGAAAGGAAGGGAGAGUAAUUAAGGAGUUGGGGAUGUAAAGCUCUUUUACAAGGGAUGAUAAUGACAGUACCGGGAGAAUAAGCACCGGCUAAAUCCGUG